rnacentral:rRNA from 1 species
GAUGAACGCUGGCGGCGUGCUUAACACAUGCAAGUCGAACGAAGCAUUUGCGACAGAUUUUUUCGGAAUGAAGUUGCUUAUGACUGAGUGGCGGACGGGUGAGUAACGCGUGGGUAACCUGCCUUGUACUGGGGGAUAGCAGCUGGAAACGGCUGGUAAUACCGCAUAAGCGCACAAUGUUGCAUGACAUGGUGUGAAAAACUCCGGUGGUAUAAGAUGGACCCGCGUCUGAUUAGCUAGUUGGUGAGAUAACAGCCCACCAAGGCGACGAUCAGUAGCCGACAUGAGAGGGUGACCGGCCACAUUGGGACUGAGACACGGCCCAGACUCCUACGGGAGGCAGCAGUGGGGAAUAUUGCACAAUGGAGGAAACUCUGAUGCAGCGACGCCGCGUGAGUGAAGAAGUAAUUCGUUAUGUAAAGCUCUAUCAGCAGGGAAGAUAGUGACGGUACCUGACUAAGAAGCUCCGGCUAAAUACGUG